CAGCUCGCGAAACCCCGCUCUCGUCGUAUUGCUUUGCCUGUUUCGUACGGCUGACGACGAGCAACGUGAACACCGAAACUACACCGGAUGAAGAGCAACUUCCAAGAUCUGUGUGUGUCGAGGAUCGCAAGCCACGCGAUGGACUUCAGCUCUCCGUGGUGAUUUUGGGUCGUGCCACGCGUUGAUCAGGCACGACGUCCGACGUUUCCCUCCGCAUGCCGGAGGCUUCUUCAAGAACUGAAUUCAGUGCUUUCCGAUGUGUCAACCGGCGUGCAGGGGGAGGAGGAAGUCACAAGUCACCCUCUCGCGGAAGACCCUUGCGUCACGAGUCGGGUUGUUUGGCGUCUGCUUCGAGCGUCAGGUGCCGUGCCAUUGUCGGCGACGGGUGAUCGUUUCGAGGUCCCGACCUGGCCGCUCGCUGCCUUCGCCGUGUCCCCAACAACAACCACCACCACCGCCACCACCACCACCACCAACCACACCCGUGUCGCAUGGCAAGCAGGUGCGUUGCCGUCGGUAGCGACGGCACACAUUCAACAACAAGAUCCAGCGUGACUUACAAUGCCCAGGUAAAGAC